ACUCACUCCAUCCUGCCACCCUGCGAGGAAGGUGCCUGCUUCUUCUUUGCCUUCCGCCGUGAGUGUGAGUCUCCUGAGGCCUCCCCAGCAAUGUGGAACUGAUACGUCAUGGAACAGAGGGCAACCUGCCUCCUGGAAAUGUGGAGUGUCUAGGGAGUCACAGCUGAGAUCUUCCUUGGAUUAAAGGCUGCGGGUGUCACAAACAGGAAAACAUUCUUGCUAAAAAAAGAUUGUUGGGACUUACCAAGGUGGCUGAAUAGGAACAGCUUCUGUCUGCAGCUCCCAGGGAGAUGAAUGCAGAAGGAUGCUGUAACAACACCAUAAACUUUCAAACAACUCUAUUUCCUACGGUUCUGGAGGCUGGAAGUCCACAAUCAAAGUGUCAUGUUGUCAGGUUGUGGUGAGGGCCCUCUUUUGGGUGUAGAUUGCUAACUUUUCUGUAUGUGUUCACAUGGCAGAAAGAGAUUGAGCUAGCUCUUGGAUCCUUUCUUAUAAGGGCACCAAUCCCAAUACAGAGGCUUCACUCUCAUGACAUAAUUGUCUCCCAAAGACUCUACCUCCAAAUAUUAUCAAUCACAUUAGGGGAUAGAUUUUAACACAUGAUUUUGGGGGGAACACAUUCAGUCCAUAACAUUUCUUGAGUCUUCUUCUAGGACCCAUAGGUUAUUUUAAAAGUGGCUUGUUCAGUUCCAAGUGUUUGAAGAUUUUUUUUUUCUGUUAUCUUUAACUUACUGAUUUCUAGAUAGACCCCAUUGUGCUCAGAGAACACUCCUUAUGUGAUUUCAAUUAUUUUAAAUUUGUUGAGAUUUUAUGACUUAGUAUGUCAUCUGUCUUGGUGUGUAUUCUGUGGGGGGGAUGGGGGGUGCUUGAAAAACGGGUAUUCUGCUAUUAUAGAAUGUCAAAAUAUCAACUGUAAUAAACAAGAAAAAUAAUCCUAGUCUUUUAUUUAAGGGCCCUCUUUAGUCCAUCUCAACAGACCCUUCUCCGAAGGGGAAAGAAAUGCAGCUCACAAGAGCCCAUUAAACAACUAAAACAAGACAAAAUAAAACAACUACCCCCUGCCAAUUUGCACACUGUUACUUCUUUUGUUUUCCCAAUCUUAUUUCUUCUUCUUUUUUAUAAUAAAAAAUUUCAAAGCAAU
rnacentral:lncRNA from 1 species